rnacentral:misc_RNA from 1 species
AAGUCGUAACAAGGUAACCGUAGGUGAACCUGCGGUUGGAUCAUUAACAAUUUUUUUCACCGUCCUCCCCUUGCAAAGGGGGUUGGCGUGUGGGAUUAACCCCCUCUUGUGAAUUCAACAGUCGUAUUUUGGGCGUCGGCUCAGGCCUGGUCUGGGCCCGGCGUUCCUUCAAGAAAAAACCCCAUUUGUUUAUUUUUCAUUCUGUCAUGUUGGGAAGCGGACUUUGCAAAAAGACUGCGGACCACCAACAAAAACAAAACAAACAACAACUUUUGACAACGGAUCUCUUGGCUCUC